GAUGAACGCUAGCUACAGGCUUAACACAUGCAAGUCGAGGGGUAGCAGGGUAGCAAUACCGCUGACGACCGGCGCACGGGUGAGUAACACGUAUCCAACCUUCCCAUAACUCGGGGAUAGCCUUUCGAAAGAAAGAUUAAUACCCGAUAGUACUUUAUUAAGGCAUCUUAAGAAAGUUAAAGAUUUAUUGGUUAUGGAUGGGGAUGCGUUCCAUUAGAUAGUUGGUGAGGUAACGGCUCACCAAGUCUUCGAUGGAUAGGGGUUCUGAGAGGAAGAGCCCCCACAUUGGUACUGAGACACGGACCAAACUCCUACGGGAGGCAGCAGUGAGGAAUAUUGGUCAAUGGGCGAGAGCCUGAACCAGCCAAGUAGCGUGAAGGAUGAAGGUCCUAUGGAUUGUAAACUUCUUUUAUAGUAGAAUAAAGUGAACCACGUGUGGUUUUUUGUAUGUAUAUUAUGAAUAAGGAUCGGCUAACUCCGUGCCAGCAGCCGCCGUAA
rnacentral:rRNA from 1 species